AUUGAACGCUGGCGGCAGGCCUAACACAUGCAAGUCGAGCGGAUGAAGGGAGCUUGCUCCUGGAUUCAGCGGCGGACGGGUGAGUAAUGCCUAGGAAUCUGCCUGGCAGUGGGGGAUAACGUCCGGAAACGGGCGCUAAUACCGCAUACGUCCUGAGGGUGAAAGUGGGGGAUCUUUGGACCUCACGCUAUCAGAUGAGCCUAGGUCGGAUUAGCUAGUUGGUGGGGUAAAGGCCUACCAAGGCGACGAUCCGUAACUGGUCUGAGAGGAUGAUGAGUCACACUGGAACUGAGACACGGUCCAGACUCCUACGGGAGGCAGCGGUGGGGAAUGUUGGACAAUGGGCGAAAGCCUGAUCCAGCCAUGCCAGGUGUGUGAAGAAGGUCUUCGGGUUGUAAAGCACUUUAAGUUGGGGGAAGGGCAGUAGGUUGAUACCUUGCUGUUUUGACGUUACCAACAGAAUAAGCACCGGCUAACUACGUG
rnacentral:rRNA from 1 species